UGGAUUAGUGGUGAACGGGUGAGUAACACGUGAGUAACCUGCCCUCCACUUUGGGAUAACUCCGAGAAAUCGGGGCUAAUACUGGAUAUGACCUUGGCCCGCAUGGGUUGUGGUGGAAAGUUUUUCGGUGGGGGAUGGGCUCGCGGCCUAUCAGCUUGUUGGUGGGGUAAUGGCCUACCAAGGCGUCGACGGGUAGCCGGCCUGAGAGGGUGUACGGCCACAUUGGGACUGAGAUACGGCCCAG
rnacentral:rRNA from 1 species